UGGCAUGAGUUAGAGCUUGGUCCUCGAUCGAUCCUUGGGUCUGAGCCCUGCAAAACCACCAAAGAUAGGAAAAGUCCUCAAGCCAGAAAGGAGAUUUCUAAUGGUGGACCCUUCGAUGACUAGGUCAGUCGCCCACAGAAGUAAAUAGAAGAGGUCUGAACUUUCAAAUAAGAACUUAAUGAGAAACGAAGCCGAGUAUGAGGUGGGAUGGAGAUUGGAUUAGCGAUAGAAUGCGGAAUUCCCGUGAUGGCCAGAUGGUUUGUGAGGCGUUUUAAUGGGGUAGAGACAGCUCAAAGCUUGAUGGGAGAGAUGAAUCCAGUUUAUAUAGAGUCAGUCUCCAGGAGAUAGCAUGCAAAAUAAGUAUCUACUUACCAAGAGGGUCCCCAAGAAUUUAGAUUUAUGGACAAAAGUGGGUACUUGUUGUUUGAGGGAUGUAUGCCAUUCUUUCUCCUAAGGGCCGC
rnacentral:lncRNA from 1 species